rnacentral:tRNA from 1 species
AGAAGUGUGCCCGAGAAUUUAGGGACUAUUUUGAUAGAGUAGGCACAGAGAAAACUCUCACUUCC